UACAGAGACCUCAAGCGUUAUCCGGAAUCAUUGGGCGUAAAGCGUACCGAUAGGUGGUUUUACAAGUCAGAAGUGAAAUCUCUCAGCUUAACUGGGAGACUGUCUUUUGAAACUGUAAAACUAGAGGGGCAAAGAGGAAGCUGGAACGAACGGUGUAGUAGUGAAAUGCGUUGAUAUCGUUCGGAACACCAAUAGCGUAGGCAGGCUUCUGGGUGCCACCUGACACUGCUAGGACGAAAGCGUGGGGAGCAAACAGG
rnacentral:rRNA from 1 species